UUAAUGGGUGAUGGCGUGCCUUUUGUAGAAUGAACCGGCGAGUUACGAUUUGAUGCAAGGUUAAGCAGUAAAUGUGGAGCCGUAGCGAAAGCGAGUCUGAAUAGGGCGUUUAGUAUUUGGUCGUAGACCCGAAACCAGGUGAUCUACCCUUGGUCAGGUUGAAGUUCAGGUAACACUGAAUGGAGGACCGAACCGACUUACGUUGAAAAGUGAGCGGAUGAACUGAGGGUAGCGGAGAAAUUCCAAUCGAACCUGGAGAUAGCUGGUUCUCUCCGAAAUAGCUUUAGGGCUAGCCUCAAGUGAUGAUUAUUGGAGGUAGAGCACUGUUUGGACGAGGGGCCCCUCUCGGGUUACCGAAUUCAGACAAACUCCGAAUGCCAAUUAAUUUAACUUGGGAGUCAGAACAUGGGUGAUAAGGUCCGUGUUCGAAAGGGAAACAGCCCAGACCACCAGCUAAGGUCCCAAAAUAUAUGUUAAGUGGAAAAGGAUGUGGCGUUGCCCAGACAACUAGGAUGUUGGCUUAGAAGCAGCCAUCAUUUAAAGAGUGCGUAAUAGCCCACUAGUCGAGUGACACUGCGCCGAAAAUGUACCGGGGCUAAACAUAUUACCGAAGCUGUGGAUUGUCCUUUGGACAAUGGUAGGAGAGCGUUCUAAGGGCGUUGAAGCAUGAUCGUAAGGACAUGUGGAGCGCUUAGAAGUGAGAAUGCCGGUGUGAGUAGCGAAAGACGGGUGAGAAUCCCGUCCACCGAUUGACUAAGGUUUCCAGAGGAAGGCUCGUCCGCUCUGGGUUAGUCGGGUCCUAAGCUGAGGCCGACAGGCGUAGGCGAUGGAUAACAGGUUGAUAUUCCUGUACCACCUAUAAUCGUUUUAAUCGAUGGGGGGACGCAGUAGGAUAGGCGAAGCGUGCGAUUGGAUUGCACGUCUAAGCAGUAAGGCUGAGUAUUAGGCAAAUCCGGUACUCGUUAAGGCUGAGCUGUGAUGGGGAGAAGACAUUGUGUCUUCGAGUCGUUGAUUUCACACUGCCGAGAAAAGCCUCUAGAUAGAAAAUAGGUGCCCGUACCGCAAACCGACACAGGUAGUCAAGAUGAGAAUUCUAAGGUGAGCGAGCGAACUCUCGUUAAGGAACUCGGCAAAAUGACCCCGUAACUUCGGGAGAAGGGGUGCUCUUUAGGGUUAACGCCCAGAAGAGCCGCAGUGAAUAGGCCCAAGCGACUGUUUAUCAAAAACACAGGUCUCUGCUAAACCGUAAGGUGAUGUAUAGGGGCUGACGCCUGCCCGGUGCUGGAAGGUUAAGAGGAGUGGUUAGCUUCUGCGAAGCUACGAAUCGAAGCCCCAGUAAACGGCGGCCGUAACUAUAACGGUCCUAAGGUAGCGAAAUUCCUUGUCGGGUAAGUUCCGACCCGCACGAAAGGCGUAACGAUUUGGGCACUGUCUCAACGAGAGACUCGGUGAAAUCAUAGUACCUGUGAAGAUGCAGGUUACCCGCGACAGGACGGAAAGACCCCGUGGAGCUUUACUGUAGCCUGAUAUUGAAAUUCGGCACAGCUUGUACAGGAUAGGUAGGAGCCUUUGAAACGUGAGCGCUAGCUUACGUGGAGGCGCUGGUGGGAUACUACCCUAGCUGUGUUGGCUUUCUAACCCGCACCACUUAUCGUGGUGGGAGACAGUGUCAGGCGGGCAGUUUGACUGGGGCGGUCGCCUCCUAAAAGGUAACGGAGGCGCUCAAAGGUUCCCUCAGAAUGGUUGGAAAUCAUUCAUAGAGUGUAAAGGCAUAAGGGAGCUUGACUGCGAGACCUACAAGUCGAGCAGGGUCGAAAGACGGACUUAGUGAUCCGGUGGUUCCGCAUGGAAGGGCCAUCGCUCAACGGAUAAAAGCUACCCCGGGGAUAACAGGCUUAUCUCCCCCAAGAGUUCACAUCGACGGGGAGGUUUGGCACCUCGAUGUCGGCUCAUCGCAUCCUGGGGCUGUAGUCGGUCCCAAGGGUUGGGCUGUUCGCCCAUUAAAGCGGUACGCGAGCUGGGUUCAGAACGUCGUGAGACAGUUCGGUCCCUAUCCGUCGUGGGCGUAGGAAAUUUGAGAGGAGCUGUCCUUAGUACGAGAGGACCGGGAUGGACAUACCUCUGGUGUACCAGUUGUCGUGCCAACGGCAUAGCUGGGUAGCUAUGUGUGGACGGGAUAAGUGCUGAAAGCAUCUAAGCAUGAAGCCCCCCUCAAGAUGAGAUUUCCCAACUUCGGUUAUAAGAUCCCUCAAAGAUGAUGAGGUUAAUAGGUUCGAGGUGGAAGCAUGGUGACAUGUGGAGCUGACGAAUACUAAUCGAUCGAAGACUUAAUCA
rnacentral:rRNA from 1 species